UAAGUCAAUAACUUAAAGGUAAAGUAAUAGUCUCCAAAACUGUAAAUAGAGGUUCAAUUCCUCUUUGACUUGA
rnacentral:tRNA from 1 species